rnacentral:rRNA from 1 species
UGGGGAAUAUUGCACAAUGGGCGCAAGCCUGAUGCAGCCAUGCCGCGUGUAUGAAGAAGGCCUUCGGGUUGUAAAGUACUUUCAGCGGGGAGGAAGGUGUUGUGGUUAAUAACCACAGCAAUUGACGUUACCCGCAGAAGAAGCACCGGCUAACUCCGUGCCAGCAGCCGCGGUACUACGGAGGGUGCAAGCGUUAAUCGGAAUUACUGGGCGUAAAGCGCACGCAGGCGGUCUGUCAAGUCGGAUGUGAAAUCCCCGGGCUCAACCUGGGAACUGCAUCCGAAACUGGCAGGCUUGAGUCUUGUAGAGGGGGGUAGAAUUCCAGGUGUAGCGGUGAAAUGCGUAGAGAUCUGGAGGAAUACCGGUGGCGAAGGCGGCCCCCUGGACAAAGACUGACGCUCAGGUGCGAAAGCGUGGGGAGCAAACA